UACACGGCAUUGUAAACUGUCAUAGAUGUAAGAGAAUUUACUUGCACUGUGUGGUAAUGGACAACUUGGGUUUCAGGCUUGUUUGAGGCUGCAAAUGGAUUGGACGUGUGGCGUCAGCUUGAUAGUCCUGUUGAAGGUCACCUAUGUCGGAGCUGUCGUCACUGACUGGUAUGGAAGAAGGAUAUAAGUAGAUGGCUAUAAUGAUUUGUGUCAUUUAACUGUGGGGUUUUGUAUUUUGCUGUGCUGCUACCUUCACUGUGGACAGUGGCUGUGGCUACAGUUGGGUAGUCUGGUUCUGUGUAUUCGUUGGAUUCAGAACGUUGAGGAAUGUUGUCACGAGUUUCGACUCUGAACGAGUAGAAGUAUUUAUGGCUAUGGGCUUACUAACACUAUGCAAGACGGCGACAUGUUUCGAACUGUAUGAAAGAAUGAUGCAGGAUUACAUCAUCAGCAGAAUGAAAUAUAAGGCAAAAUGUUUGGUCGGACAUCUUACUAUAUCAAAGAGGUUGACGUGACGUUUUAAAUUUAGGCACUCAUUUUUAUUUGAUUUCACAAUCUUGUAAUAAUUAUCAACAUUGUUGCGUCAUAUUAACUACUGUAUUAUUUGCUAUCAAAAUAUAAACUGUUACAGUAUGACAGUGUUGUCAUUAUGCACUCAC